CCUACGGGAGGCUGCAGUUUCGAAUCAUUCACAAUGGGCGAAAGCCUGAUGGUGCGACGCCGCGUGAGGGAUGAAGGUCUUCGGAUUGUAAACCUCUGUCACUGGGGAAGAAACGCUAAGCGUUAAUAUCGCUUAGCCUGACUUAACCCGGAGAGGAAGCAGUGGCUAACUCUGUGCCAGCAGCCGCGGUAAUACAGAGACUGCAAGCGUUAUUCUGAUUGACUGGGCGUAGGCGGGGCGCAGGCGGUGUGAAAUCCCGGAGCUUAACUCCGGAACUGCGCCUCAAACUACACGGCUAGAGCAUUGGAGAGGGAAGUGGAAUUCACGGUGUAGCAGUGAAAUGCGUAGAUAUCGUGAGGGACACCAGAGGCGAAGGCGACUUCCUGGACAAUUGCUGACGCUCAGGCACGAAAGCGUGGGGAGCAAAAGGGAUUAGAUACCCCGGUAGUC
rnacentral:rRNA from 1 species